CAGCCUAUUUAUCUCAUUCAGGCUGCGUGAGUGCAUGCUGCUGCCUUGGCCACACAUCCCUGGCCACCCUGUCUGCCCCCUGGUGACAUUUUCAUCUUCUUGUGGUGUGAGAUGAGAGCUGUGUGUGCUCUUCAUGGAGCGCCACCAGCAAUAACACAAGGCAAAGGGUCCUGAAAGAGCCAUAAGAUGGACCAAAACCUCUUGCUUGGAUACAGAAGAAAGACAAAUUCAGUGCAGGUGUCAGUUAGGAAGAGCCUAAGAGCAAAAUUUGAAAGCCAGCAGUAUGAGAUUCCCAACAACCCUCAUAAAAAUAAACCCAAAUCAUCAAAAAUCCCACGAGAUUCCUGCUGCUUUGGAUCUGGCAGCUACAGAGCUGCAGUUGGCAGGAAAGACUACAACAUGCUUCUGCAGGAGUCCAACGUAGCCUUGCAAUUAAAUUCAAGUUGCUUUCAUGAAGAAUGACAGCCCAGUGAUUGGGAAGAAACCUGCAAAAACAAUGCCUAAGACUGUCAAAGCAAUCAAAUAACAUCUGUUAACGUCUGCUCAGGAACAGAACUUCUGGCAUCUCCCAAAACCUCCUUCAUCUCAACAAACACACAAUAAACCUGCAUGAUGAAGACGCAGCUUUCAUGAAUCCAGUGAAAAACCAUGGCUUCCCAAAUCCCAAAUUGUUGUUUCACAGAAAUGUUUGUCACAUCCCAGUGGCUGGGUACAAACCCUGCCUUUUGGCUACCCUAGGGCUCCCAGAUGAGGCAGCCCAAAGGGGAGCCUGAAACCCCAAACAUCUGAGCCAUAAAUUUAGCUCUUUUUAAGGGAUGGGAAGUUCCCAUAAGUCUUUCAUGAUGCUCAGCCAGCACAAGGGAGGACCUGAAAGGUUCCAAACAAGGAAAACUGAAAGGUUUCAAAUGACCUGAAAGGUUCCAAAUGAGGGCUUUGGAACAUCAGGAUGCCCCUUGGCUUUACAGUGAUUUUUCAAGGCAGUUUCUGUCCAUCUGUGUUUUCCACAUUGACCAGAUGGGCCCAAAAGAAGCUCCCUGGCAGCUGCUGUGGUUGUGACCAGCUCUUGCAAAAGAGCUCCUGCCAUCACUGUCUGGCCUCUCCCAUCACUGGGAGAGCUCAACCAGGGGCUUCUGUACCAAGUUUAGCUUUGUGCAUCAGGCUGGUGGAUCAGGAACCCACCCUGAAGGCUCCAAGUGGAAGGGACAUUACUGAUGCUGGUCCUUUCAAAGUAAAAUUCCUGCUCAAGUCAAGUUUCUGCUUCUCAGCUUCAGCAAGGCUCCAUCACCCUGUCAGGACAUCAGUCCUGCCAAAAGUGCCUUUCCUGGCCACAAGUCACCCAAUGGCUGAUACAGCUGCACAAUCCUCUGCCACUUUUCACUGUCUCUCAAUCAAAAGCCUUUGAGGUAACAACCUGUGGUUUUUUUCUGUCUGAUUAUUCUUCAUUGGGAUGCUUAUAAGUGAAGUGCCAUGCAGAGACAGUGGCCAUGGCCCAUAAAUUUAAUUACUAACCUUUAAUUCAUGGGUGGCAGAAACAGUUCUUCAAGCAUCUGAGUUAAUCAGGCUUUGCCGACAGUGGCAAUCAAUUGUUCAGCAGCUUGCUUUUUGCUUAAUUACUGUUGGACUACAUUGCAUUUUCAAAAUGUCAAGAAUCCUCUUUUAGAAAAGCAAUAAAUCAUUUCCAUGUGGUGUGCCAGGCUGGGGUAGGAGACUAUUAUUCUCUCACACCUGACCUUGGUUACAAGGAACAGAAAUUGAUCAUUUACUGUACCAGUGAAAUAUCAUUUAAAGAAAAGUGAGUAUUAACUAAGAACUUCAGCUCACUAAAAGGAAAGAGAGUUACUUUCUGGCCAAGGAAGAUGCUGGCAGGGGGAUGUGGCUCCAUUAAAACUCCUCUGUUAAUGAGGCACCAUCUACUCUGGGAAUCCAUAUCAGAGUAUCAAUUUCAGCAGGAAUCCACAAAGCUUGUGCCCAGGUUUUCAGGCAGAGACACUCUGAUUCCUGCUCUUCUGGCAUGAGGCCAGGAUAUUUACAUGUCAACCAAAGAGUUAUCCACCCCUCUAACUUUCAGAAAGGAUGUUCCAGUGAAGGCAACUUAGCCAGUUCGAACUUGUUGAAGACAAAAAACUUGGCUGUUGGGGAUUGCAUUAAUUAGAAAGAUUAAGGCACUUCCCAGAACACAUCUCUGGGGCCCACCAGCCCCACCUGGAGCAUCUCACUGCUGCACCCAUGAACUCUGGGUGUGGGUGGAGAGACCAGGAGCUGUGGCCUUCACAAGCAAGGGCCUGAGACAGGCAGGGAAGAGGAAACUUUCCAGAGCACAGCUCUGCUCCAGCUCCUCAGCUGGCCCUGAUUCUGCCCUAAAGGACUGUGCCAAGGCUCUGUCCAUUCCCUUUGGUCUCCAUCUGUAAGAAGCAGUGAGAAAUUUUUAAUUGUGUGUAUUUACAUCAAAUGACACAGAAGAAACCUGCUCCCCACUCAGUCCCCUGAGACCAGUGGGGUAGAAGUAAUGAAUGACUCCUUCCUGCCUGAGAAAUGGGAGGUGUUUUCAGCAGCAGCAGUGUGCUCAAGUAUGUUGAGAGCAGGACAUGGGUUGUGGCUGGUGUCAGCCAGGAUGAGAUGAAGAUAAAAGACAUCCUCUGAGAAUGCUGCCAGAAAUAAGAAGGAAGAGGCUGUGUGGAAUCAUAUGGAUCAAAUUUCCUUUCUCAUUGUGUUUAAUAGAAAAGCUUUUCACCUCCCAAGGGUACCAAUGAAAAUUUUCUUCAAGCCAGAGAAAGCAGAGCUGAUUAGAGCCAGGAGCUAACAGCAAACAAACUGUGACCAAGGAAUGAAAAUGAAGCAAUAAAAUGUUCAACACUUGCAAGACAAUAAAAAACAUUUCUUAGUGGAAAUAAUAAAAGGAAGAAAGACACAAAAGAAGUUUCUAGCCUAAACUAACAUUGCUGUUUUCCUAAUUCAAAACAGAUUUAACUUUUCUCCCCAUUUUCGCCGGGAGUGUGACAGUGCCAUCACCUGUUGGUGGAGGUGUGGUGCUCUGGUGGCAGCAGAGUGUGACAGGUUGUGAAGGAGCUUCCCAGGCUCAGUGUGCCACAGGUUUGGAGGGAUCCUUGCCACCAGAGUGAGGACAUGAGGCAGCACCAAGAGAGAACAUCCCUGCAGAACCACCACACAUUAUCUGUGUUUUUCCUGUGAUCCCCAUUCCAGACCUUCCUGUGAUUCCAGGGGAAAUUCCCAGUGUCUGAUGGGCUUUCCUCUGUGUCUCACCUCUCCACAGUGUCCCAGUUUCUCCUCAUCACUGGCCACCAGCAAAGCAGCUCCUCCAGGGAGAAGGGCAACCAUGGCCACCCAUGCCCGGGGGGUGGCAGAAAUUCGGGAUCAUGUCCACCUGUCGGUGUCAGCCCAGAGCUUUGUUUUUCUCCUUAUUUAACAUUCCCAGCUUUGUCCAAAAGGCAGCAGCACUAGAGGGCACUGCCUGCACGUGUGAGAGAGGGGGACACAUCUCCAGCCAUCUCCCAGGACACCCAAUUUUGGCUGAUUGCUGGCACCUUCCCUUCUCACCUGUGCCCUUUCUCUGGGGAAAAACACGGAGCCAGCUGAGGCCAUUCAUUUUCCUGGCUGCAGAUGAGGUUGGCAGCACAAGGUGAUGUACAGGAUCACUCCCAACAAACAGAUUUGGGAAAGGCAAAGUGAGACGUUAUCAGGCAAGCUUGUUCCAGGCCCAAAGCAGGCAGUGGAACAGCUGCACACUCGUUUAGGCCAAAAGAUAAAGUCAUGUGUCCAGGAGC